rnacentral:rRNA from 2 species
AAGCUUGCUUGUCUCAAAGAUUAAGCCAUGCAUGUGUAAGCACACACUGUUUUAAAAGUGAAGCCGCGAAUGGCUCAUUACAACAGCCACAGUUUAUUAGAACUUACAAUCAUGGAUAACUGUGGUAAUUCUAGAGCUAAUACACGCACAAAAACUUCAACUGAAUUGGUUGAAGUGCUUUUAUUAGAACAAAAACCGAACGGCGUUUGACGAAUGUUGAACGUCGAAACUGUUUGGUGAACCUGAAUAACUAUUUCUGAUCGCAUGGUCUAGCACCGGCGACAUCACUUUCAAGUGUCUGCCUUAUCAACCUUCGAUGGUAGUCUAUGCGACUACCAUGGUGAUAACGGGUAACGGAGAAUCAGGGUUCGACUCCGGAGAGGGAGCCUGAGAAACGGCUACCACAUCCAAGGAAGGCAGCAGGCGCGCAAAUUACCCACUCCCAGCUUGGGGAGGUAGUGACGAAAAAUAACGAGACGAUUCUCGUUUGAGAAACGUUAUCGAAAUGAGUACGCUUUACACACGCUAACGAGUAGCAAUUGGAGGGCAAGUCUGGUGCCAGCAGCCGCGGUAAUUCCAGCUCCAAUAGCGUAUAUUAAAGUUGCUGCGGUUAAAACGCUCGUAGUUGAAUUGUGGUCUUAGACAACAGUCCCCCUACAUAGGUGUGGCACGGUUGCUCGAGAUCUUCAUUCGUGGUUGCUGUUGUUGCUCUUCAUUGAGUGUCAAUGGUGCCUCGAGAUUUUACUUUGAAAAAAUUAGAGUGCUCAAAGCAGGUUGUGAUGCCUGAAUAAUGGUGCAUGGAAUAAUAGAAUACGAUCUCGGUUCUAUUUUGUUGGUUUUCGAACCGGAGAUAAUGAUUGAAAGGAACAGACGGGGGCAUUCGUAUCGCUGCGUUAGAGGUGAAAUUCUUGGAUCGCAGCAAGAUGAACAAUUGCGAAAGCAUUUGCCAAGAAUGUUUUCAUUAAUCAAGAACGAAAGUUAGAGGUUCGAAGGCGAUCAGAUACCGCCCUAGUUCUAACGGUAAACUAUGCCAACCAGCGAUUCGCCGAAGUUCAUUUAAGACUCGGCGAGCAGCUUCCGGGAAACCAAAGUGUUUCGGUUCCGGGGGAAGUAUGGUUGCAAAGCUGAAACUUAAAGGAAUUGACGGAAGGGCACCACCAGGAGUGGAGCCUGCGGCUUAAUUUGACUCAACACGGGAAAACUCACCCGGCCCGGACACUGGAAGGAUUGACAGAUUGACAGCUCUUUCUUGAUUCAGUGGGUAGUGGUGCAUGGCCGUUCUUAGUUGGUGGAGCGAUUUGUCUGGUUAAUUCCGAUAACGAACGAGACUCUACCCUAUUAAAUAGUGACAGUAUUGUAUUUUUUGUGCUGAUCACUUCUUAGAGGGACUGGCAAAUUGAAAGCUGCACGAAAAAGAGCAAUAACAGGUCUGUGAUGCCCUUCGAUGUCCGGGGCUGCACGCGCGCUACAAUGAAAGCGUCAACGUGAGUUACGUCCUUACCUGAAAAGGUUUGGCAAUCGAAUGAAACGUUUUCUUGAAUGGAAUAGGGAAUUGCAAUUGUUUCCCUUGAACGAGGAAUUCCCAGUAAGCGUGAGUCAUUAGCUCGCGUUGAUUACGUCCCUGCCCUUUGUACACACCGCCCGUCGCUACUACCGAUUGGAUGAUUUAGUGAGGUGUUUUGACUGGCGCCAGUAGUCGGAUGUAUUCGGCUUCGCGCCGGGAAAUUUCCCAAACCAAAUCAUCUAGAGGAAGUAAAAGUCGUAACAGGGUUUCCGUAGGUGAACUCGGAAGGAUC